UGUACAUGAAACAAACAGAACUACAGGCGUGAGCACUUUCAUUUCUUCUCUGGUACUUCGUAAUGACUACAUUAGAGUACAUAUUUCAAGCGAAAGGGAAAUAAUUUUAGCACUUAAUAUUUUUUGUUUACAUUUUAAGUGUCCCAAACUUAAACGACCAUACUGUGAGAACUAAUCUACAGGGAAAAAGAAGAAAGAGAUGUUAUAUAAAGUUUGUCAAUAAACACUUUGUUAUAUUUUAAACAAAUAUUGUAUGCAUGAAAUAGAUAAUAACGCAUUUUUCAUCAUAGCACACAGAAGUUGACUGUGUUAUUGUGUCAGUGUAGUUACAUGUUUUUUAUUAUGUGGUAACAAUUCCAUGUCAUUAAUAGUUAUAAAAUAUAAUAUGUAAUAUAAUAAAAAUGAUUAAGUAGUA